rnacentral:tRNA from 1 species
GCCCGCCUAGCUCAAUUGGCCAGAGCGUCAGACUUUUACGGCGGGCAGUGCUCCCUCAAAUGUGAUCUGAAGGCUGCGAGUUCGACCCUCGCGGUGGGCU